rnacentral:rRNA from 1 species
GGCGGCGGCGCCUAACACAUGCAAGUCGAACGGUGAAGAGGAGCUUGCUCCUCGGAUCAGUGGCGGACGGUGAGUAACACGUGAGCAACCUGGCUCUAAGAGGGGGACAACAGUUGGAAACGACUGCUAAUACCGCAUAACGUAUCGGGAUGGCAUCUUUCUGAUACCAAAGACUUUAUCGCUUAGAGAUGGGCUCGCGUCUGAUUAGAUAGUUGGCGGGGUAACGGCCCACCAAGUCGACGAUCAGUAGCCGGACUGAGAGGUUGAACGGCCACAUUGGGACUGAGACACGGCCCAGACUCCUACGGGAGGCAGCAGUGGGGGAUAUUGGACAAUGGGGGCAACCCUGAUCCAGCGACGCCGCGUGAGGGAAGAAGGUUUUCGGAUUGUAAACCUCUGUUGACGGAGAAAAAAAUGAUGGUAUCCGUUUAGAAAGCCACGGCUAACUACGUG